CAGCAAAAGGUAUUUAUUAUCCUUGUCGGCCUCACCUGGAGAUGGGUUUCCCUGCCGUGGGCACCACCAGGUUUAUUUCUUCCGGACCCAGCAGGCAUUAUGGGAAAAACUCCCUCGGAUCUUCUGGCUCCUGCUCCCACAGCCUGACUUAGUUUAUGAAGAAAGGCUUCAUUUGCAAGUCAGAGAUGGGAACAGGAGUGCAAGCUUUGCACAGCCCACGCCGUUCCCAGUUUGCAUGCAGGUUCAAACACGUGCUCACGUGCGCACUACAGGAACACCACGUGCGUACACACAGCUGCUCAGAUCUUUGUUAGACAGCGUGCAACUGACUCCAAACCCACUUCUGAGCUGGAUGUAGCAAGCCGACCAACCCUUCAGUGCUGAUGAGACCUACUUGUGACAAACCUUACUGAAGAAGUGGCACUCAUAUAGAAACGGACACGAAUUUGUAAAGACAUAAUUCUGUGAGCUGUGCGACCUGGACACCCUUAAGAAACCACCGCUCAGAAGAUGUGGGUGGCCGAGUGAUGAGAUGGCCUAUCAGCCCGGCACACAGAGAGCACGUAAUGGGCAUCCCUCUUGGCCCUUACAACCAGAAACUUCCCAACAGACCAUCCACAAAUGAGGAUGUAAGAGACCACCUGUAGAUGAACUAUGAGGACCUCAAAGAGCUACCUGUGAGAGAUGGAAACUGCCGUUACUGCUACAAUUAUGGCAGAGAGAAGUCAAACAGUGCUGGAGGGUGAAGAGUGAAUCCCAAGGCACACUCAUUUCCCAGGGGGCGAUUUUGCUGCAGUUUCCAUUGCUGUGCUUCUGUGUGACCAGGACUGCUGCUCUGACAUAGGCAGACGCCUGGUUAAUGAAGGAGGUUCUACAUUCGUAUCGCUCAAGUUGAAAGCAUGACUAAGAUUGAAUUACUGUACGGAAGCUACACCAACAGGUCAGGUAGCCGCAUCGAUCGAGACGGCUUCUCCUCUCUGACUGUUUUUAAAUGCAAGUCUUACAUCAUUCAGACUCGUUAGCGAUCUCUGACCUGUGGCUCAGUGAACAAAUAUCUCCUUGCAAGCGUGAGGACUGCGUUUGGAUGGCCAGAACCCAUGUGAAGUGGGGCACAGUGGUGCACAGCUAUGAUCCCAGCCCUCCUGAAGGGAGGCGGAAGGGGGAGACAGGAGAACCUUCUGGAGCUUGGGAGCAGCUAACCUGGUGUACUCAAAAGUGAACAUCUAGAAACCUUGCCUCAAAGGUAGAAGGCAAAGACCGAUACGUAAGGUUCUCUUUCGACCUCCAUGCGAAUAAUGUGCCGCAUCUGUACUCACACACAGACACAACAAGCACAUAACACACAUAUACAAAUACAAACAUAGUCUCACACACACACACACACACGCAUAUACAUAUACACAUACACACACAUCACAUAUGUGUAAAGAUAUUAAAAGUUAAAUUAAAACCCUUAUUGCUGGUGGUGCACACCUAAAAUCCUAGCACUUGGGAGACAGAGGCAGGAAGAUCAGAAAUUUGAGGCCAGCCUGCGCUCUAUGAGACCAAUGUUUCAAAAGACAAAACAGAAUUCUUACUGACUUUUCAAAUUAUACAUAUAAAACAAUCAUACAUAUAAAACAAAUUAAACACUUCAGAAAAAACAUAACAUAAAUAAUGAAAGUUAUGUGUAACUACCAAAUCCAUUGUUUCUGAGUUCUGAUUGAAACCAUGUCCAGUUAUGUUAACUAUCCCCCCGCUCUGCCUGAAUUGGGAUAGCUGAGGUCGAUCAUGCUGGGACUAUUUUUUAAUUGCCUGCCUUUACUUUCAAAUGGUUUCUGGACACAAAACAGAUUAUGUGGGCCUUUGACCUAUAACAUACCUCCAAAAGAAAGGCCAUUAUCAGCCACUGUGGGUUUAAGUAUUCUCUAUUUCUUUUCCCAUAAUUUGCUUUAACUUAUCCUCUUAUAAACUGAAUUUUCUGUUUUGUUUUGCUUUUGUUUUUCGAAACAGGGUUUCUCUGUGUAGUGUUGGCUGUCCUGGAUUCGCUUUGUAAACCAGGCUGGCCUCGAACUCACAGCAAUCUGCCUGCCUCUGCCUCCUGAAUGCUGGGAUUACAGGCAUGCACCACUGCGCCAGUUCAGCUGAAUUUGUAAACACAAGAUUUCUGAUGUGUUCAUCUUUUGGUUUGAAACUAGGCAAUGAAAUUUCACUUUCACUUCUUUUGCAUUUCCAAGAAGAUGUGCUGGGGAGUAGAUGGUGACUAGCAACUUUUUAAAAGUCCCAGGCAAAAGGCCAUUUUAUCUGAGUUCCCUCUGUGAAUCAGAGAAGCAGAUACUGCCUGAACAACUGGAGUGCCGCAAAAAAAAAAUCGUUGGAUCUCAAGAUCACUUACUUGGAUAACAAAUGAAUUGCUUAAAAAGACAUUUCUUUAUUACAAUAAAAAUAAAUACUUAAAAUAAGAUUUUACAAUGCUUAAGAUAUAGGGUUGUAAAAGAAAAAUAAGGCACAUAUGCAGUCCCAUUAGAAGAUGCCCUGCAUGAGCUUAAAAGUUAUCUCAUUUACUUCCCAUUUCUGUAACGCUUUAGAUCAUAAAAGCUAUGGAGACAUAGUGGGGAGGACUCACGAGAUUAUCCCUCUGCUCCCACAUCCAACACUUUUCUCCCUUGCAAUCCAAGCCAUGUCCCCAACUCACUUUGCAACAAGCUCAACCAGGUCCUCUAGCGCUCAGAAGGUUGAGGAGGAACGCCAACACGCUGGGUCCUUACGAGACUUCACAUGCACGCUGGGGGAGCAGCCAUGCCACCUGGUCCCUGCACUGUAGCCUGAACAACUGCAGCUGCCAUGUCAUAAACAGCAGAGGAAGCCCAAGAGUCUGGCGGAGUCUGGACUCUGAUGACUACACACUGCCAAACCAGUAUUAACGGCUGCCUCUCUCCAGACUGCUCCUUGCUUGUUUAAGCUACCAUGAGUUAGAUUUCAUGUUUCUUAGGGCCAAAUGUAUUGCAAACCAACACAACACCUUAGCAGAGCCUGGUUUCUCCAAGACCCUAGCACCUACACCGGAGAAGAGGCAGCCAGAGGCCAGAAACCCCUUCACUCCGUCGACUCCUAGACAGAAGUAAAGAUUCUCUGCAAAGCAGAUUCCACAACAUACAGAAGCACAUGACACAGGAGCUAAAGUUGAGAAUCAAGAAGAACAUCUCUGAGAUAAGCCUAUCUUAUCUUCAAAUGAUGAUUUGCAUCUUUCUGGAAAGUGAUAAGGUUUCUGUACUGCAGUAAAAUAAGCGACAGUCCCUCUUCGACCACCAACCCCCUACUCUAUCCCUCCUGGACCACCAGCCUCCCUGCUCUGGUCCCUCCUGGAUUGUCAGCCUCCCUACCCUAUCGUUGAGUUGGGCCCCACCAUUUCAAAGAAAACAAUCUUAGAACAUCAGGCAAAGCUACAAUUCAGACAGGAAUGCCAAACAUAAUCCAGAUGUAAUUUUGUCACUAUUAACCCCGUUCUGGGGUGACCUGUUUUCAAAUGCAAGCUCUGUUGUGGGGCUGCCUGCUUGCCGGACCCAGCUGGGCUCCCACUAACCCUUUGUAACCACUCCCCAACCUCUGUGCUUUUGUUUUCUAGUCUGUAGAAUAUGGAGAGACAGAGAAUCCCUGAAUAGAAUAAUUGCAGAGAGUAACUCAAGUGUGGAUCAUUUACAGUAAUGAAUGGCUUGUGUUUAAAACAAACAGAGCAGGGAAUGCCAAGAGCUCAAUAAAUAUUAUACCUUAUUAUAGGUGUUUAAAAGCCAACCCCACCUUACACAUAAAUAUUCAUAUAGUGUGUAAGUAUCAGCAUUUGUGUAAAAAUGUAUGUAUAAACAUCAUUUUUAUUUGUAUUCUCAGGUAAAAUAUGGAAUGAUGUUUCAAUUUUAUCACCCCAAAUGCAGAGACAGACAAGCCCCCAGUGAAUAAAUUACCUUUUUGUCUUUUCCGUCUACUUAAAAACGUUGGGGAAAAGGGAGACCUGAAGAGAUGGCUCAGUAAUUAAGAGCACUGACUGUUCUUCCAGAGGACCUGGGUUUGAGGCCCAGCACUCCCUUGCUCACGCACAACCAUCAUAACUCCAGUUCCAGGGGAUCUGGUGUCCUCUCCUGGCCUCUGCAGGUACUAGGCAUGCCCAUGUUUGCACAUACACGCAUUCAGGCAAAUACAUUCAUACACAUAAAAAUACAUCUUUUAAAUACAUUAUUUAUGCCUGUAAUCCCAGCACUCAAGGAGGUAGAGGUAGGCACAUCUCUGUGAGUUCAAAGUCAGCCUGGUCUACAAAUCAAGUCCAGGACAACUACAGCUACACAGAGAAACUCUGUCUUGAAAACAAUACAAAAAAAAAAAAGAAAGAAAGAAAGAAAGAAAGAAAAGAUUAUUACAUUUUCUUUACUGUGUAUGUGUUUGUGCACACGUGUGCCACAGCUCACAGGUGGCAAUCAGACAGCAACUUUCAAGGGCAGUUCUCUCCUUCCAACAUGUUUGUCCUGGGGGUGGAUCUCAGACCAUCAAGAGCUCGGAGGGCGGCGGCAGGGUCCCUUAACCUGCUGAGCCAUCUUGCCUGCCCCUGCCUCUGCUUACAAAAAUAAACAAGUGAAAAUUUCUAUGUCAGGGCUCAUUUGUGUAAUGAAACCCUAAAAAGGCUCUCCCCUCUCUUCUUUUCUUUCUGCUUGUUUAUUUUUAGAUGAAAUCUCACUCUGUGGUCCAUGCUGGCUUUGAACUAACAACCCUCUGACUUAGCCUGUCAUGUGCCACCAAACUGAGCCUCACUUGAUGUUAUUUUCAUGAAAACCUGAGAGAAUACAGACACUUCCUUGGAAACCUUUUCAGAUUCGCCCUCUUUGAGUAUCAGUUGCUAAUUGCACAUACACGAUCAAUCAGCAAACAAGCCUGGGGUCUUGUUUGGUUAGUCCUUUUCCUGCUUGCAGAAUUUACUGUACUUCCUGUAUAGUUUCUAUCUUAACUGUCCCCAAAGGCUCAGUCCCCAGUGUGUGGCAUUCUUUCGGAGUUGUGGAACCUUCCAGAAACAGAGCCUACUGGGGAGUUCUGGUCUGUCAGAAUCCUCACAGGGAACUGUGGGAUUCGGGUCUCUCCCUACACCUUUCCUUUUGGUACCUGGCCAUGAGUGGAAUGGACCUUGUAGACCCAUGAUUUCUGCUGUGAUGUGCUGGUUCUCCAUCACCUUCCAAAGCAACAAAGGCCACCCAAAACAACGAAAACCUGCAAAACUGCAAGGCAAAAUAAAUAUUUUUUUUUAUACUUAGACUAUGUCAAAUAUUUUGUUUCAGCAAUAAGAAGCUAUUUAACAAAUGGCCUCUGUUCUCAGUCUUCAACUUUUCUUAGUUCUAUUGUUUAAAUUUGUGAUUCCCUUUAGUAACUCUCAGCUGUUCAGUCUUCUAAAUAUUUUACACACUGUUGCUCAUCUAAAAUAACUUCCAUCGGCCAAGAAGGGUUGUCCUUAAGCUAACUAAUUUUUUUUUUCUUCGCAUUUCCCCAUACUGAAAGGACUGGUCAUUCCCCAUCCAUUGUAGCUUGUUCCGACCAGCCAACACCCUCCAUCUCCUCUCUAACCUGAGCGUUCUUCAGGCUUCCUUUCUUUCGGGGUUUCAGUCUUCCCAAAGCCUGCUCUGUCUGCCAAGCGCCUUCUCCCACCCUUGCGCUUAGAAUCCCGGAUGCCUCUGCAGCUCCGACACUGCCUUCCGAAUUGCCUUCCUUCGCUGCUGCAGCUGCCGUUACUCCUUAGCCAUGGUCAGUCAGAGCCGGGGGGAGAGACCUGUCCCCUCUGUACCCUGUCUCCCAGGUUAGAAAGUCGUCACUGCCACAUUUCAGUUGUCAGCACCACGAUGCACGGAUCAGAUAGUCCCUUUUAUUCUUUCAUCUUGGCAGCACCUAAGAAUUAGUGUCUAAUGACACAGAGGCAAAAAGUUAAUGGAAAUUUAAUUGGGGGGAGAAAAACAACAAUAAUAAAAACCUAGUAUCCCAACAGGAAUUAAACCCAGUGGCCAUAACAGGAGGCAAAUAUUCCAUCCUCCGGGCUUUGGAGAGGAGUGGAGUGUACUUGGCUACAGAGAGGCAUCAUGUCCGUAAUACAGGUGAUUCCUGUAUUUUCCCAGUAUUACUUUGGUCAACAAAAUGAAGAAAGGAAGUGAAUUCCAAUUUAAAUGUCAGAGCUACCUACUGUAAGAAUUCUGAACAGAGGGCCUUAAUGAAAAUAGGAUUUAAUUUCCUGUAAAUGUUUGAGUUCUUUAACCCUAAUAUAUAGAAGUGAUGAAUAUUUAUACCAAAGAAUUGCAUCUUCCUCACAGAAUAGUGUUUAGUCAGCCACAAACAAAGGAAUUGCGGGAGAAUUUUUUUUUUUAAGGAUUUUUAUGGAUUUUUCUGGAGGAAAUAACAUCUGGAUAAUUUUGUGCCUUCUUUCAUAUUUUUCUCCAAAAGGUUAAGGUGUACCAAAAAUGCUGCAAGCAUAUUCUUAAAUAAUAUCUUUACUUAUUCUUUUAAAAUUUCAUGCAUGUAUAAAGUGUAUUCUAAUCUGAUCCACCCUCAACUCAAGUACAGUGUUUCGAAGGCUCCGCAUUCUGGCUGCCUGCAGGGAUUUAAGCUAUUGGGCUAUUGUGAUGCGUUUUUAGUUUUUAAAUGAAUUAAGCUUAUCCAAUAUUUUAUAUCCAGAUUAACCUAGUUUUCAUCCAAUCUCUGGUACUUAAGGGAAGUAGGGCUCCCUGAAUAAAGUAGGAACAUUUCAACACAGUGAGGUUGAAAUGAGGAGAAACCUCAGCCUCUAACCUCAUUUGCUUUCUUCAUUUGUAUCUUUUUUUUUUUUUUUCCAGACAGGGUCUCGUUAUGUAGCCCUUACUAGAACGUAACUUGCUGUGUAAACCAAACUGGCUUUGAACUCGCAGAGAUGUUAACAUCCUCAAAAGCACUGGGCCUAAAGCCCUGUGUGCUUUCCGCAUUCAAGGCGUCUUGCUCUUUCCUUAUGCCUUGUGACGUGGCUGUGUGCAACACAACCUGAGGCUCCAACUAAACCAACUGUUGAAUCACUGAAAAUUCAGCAAAACGUUCUCAGGAAGAAACAGUGCACUGCAGGAUGCCAGAAAUAUUAAAACCCAAGCAAACACUACAGAAGUGGCAAGCUUCCACUGAACGUUUAGAAGGGAAAAGAAAAGAGAAGAAAAACCUGAAGAUUUUAUUUUCAAAUAUCAACAUAUAUUUAAUACUAGGAUUCACAAGGUAGAGAUAGAUCCCUGUGAAUUCAAGGCCAGUGUGGGCUACGCAGGGACUAUGAGAGACCCUAUCUCAGAAGAAGAAGAACUAAUCACAACAACAGCAAUAAAAAGAAUAAAUGCAAAUCAGAAUGUCAACAGAUGUUUUUUAAAGCCCUUAAUAAUAAUAAUAAUAAUAAUAAUAAUAAUAAUAAUAAUAAACUCUGUCUACUUUUAUUUUAUGUGUAUGGGAGUUUACCUGUAGGUUUGUCUGCAUACCACAUGCAUGCAGUACCUGUGGGGGCCAGAAGAGGGCAAUGAGUCCCUGAAACUGGAGUUACAGAUGGGUGUGAGUGGCCAUGUGGGUACUAGGAACUCAACCCUGGUCUCAAGAGCAGCAAGUGCUACUGAGCUGUCUCUCCUACCCCUCAAAAUUAUUUUUAAAGGGCCUUAAUCCACAGCCAUUAAUAAACAUCCUUGCAAUAAAUAUCUGGGACUCUGGUUGGUGGUGGUAGAAAAACCACAGUUGUGGAGAAACUGAAAGAAAAGCAUAUGGAACCCAUAAGCAAAAAUCCACAAUAUCCCUGUGUUCGGGUCAUUUAGAUAGCUGACCUGAGACUGACAAAACUUUUGCAAGCUUCAUGAUAGGUAUUUAUAAGCCUCUGUUAUUGAGAGAAUAAAAAUGCCUUUAUGAGUUGUUAAUCAAUAAAAGAUAGGUUUCAAAUGCUUUAACUUCAUCCUCAAUUAGUUAUGUUGAAAGCUAUGUUAAAAAUGAACUAAUGAAGAUGGAAGAUCAGGUGUCUUAAGCUUGGGUGGUGAGACAGGCCCGGUCCUUACUUGCCUCUGAUCCUAAUUCAUUCCCACCAGCAGUCCGUGUCAAAUAUCUGUACUUUUUAGUCUAAUUAAAUGUCACUCACACCAUGGAAUUUUGUCUAGUUCUGCUUUCUCCUUUCCUAUGCAGAGGGAACACUUUACUUGCAUCCGUCCGGUAGAGACUACAGUGUUGUAGCGUAAGCAUCACAAGCCUGACAUUGAUAUGUCCUACUUCUUCCUUGAGAAAGAAGGUCUUAAGGAUAUGUGUCAUUCUCUAUACAUGUGUCCUUCCCAAAGCACUAAGCAUUAAGCCUUGCCCUUAGUAACAAUCAAUGAACAUGAGUUGAAUUACUUAAUUAAGGUUUCUGUCCACUCAAUAUAAAAUGUCUGCUUGAAGACAAAGGCCAGGCAAUGAGAAGGCUCACUGGGUAAUCGAUACUUCAAUUUUUAUGCGUCCAAUCAAUGUUGUAUGUUACAGUAAAUAAGGUGCCAUAGUAUUUAUCUGCACACACUGUGAAAUGUCUCUUCUGUUUGCCCUCCCCACCAGAAGUUGGUGACUUUGGAAAAGUCAUUGCCCCCUUUCAGGGGCAAUAAAUAAGGCAAUACCAGCCAGUCUCUCAUACAUGGCACUCUUGCAGCAAAGGUGGUAGAAAAGAUAAGACACAAACUAACAAAAAUCUUAGCAUGUGAGGACAUGUAUCUGUUAAUGAGCUUGGUUUCACAAUGCACAGUUCAUGCAAAUAUCAAAACAUUUGUUGAUAUGUACCAUAGAUGCAAACAGUUGUGAGGUGUAUGAACCCAUAUGGAGCUCAAAUCAACCCUCACAUAAGCACUGCCAAGAAGCUGCUCUCUUACCUAGGCUGAGAAAAUAAGAGAAGGUUUUACUACCAGGCCCAAGGCAGAGGUGUCCUGGCAGGCAGGAUUGCUCACGAGGGCCACAUUGGCUCUCCGUGUGUCGUCUAGCUAGAAGGAAUACUUUAGCUUCUCCCUUCCUCUACAGUUAUUCUUA